GCAGGCCUGGGUGGUGCUUUGUUAUUUCUCUCCUAUUUCUUUUUCUUUCCAACCCUAGAGACAAAGUUAUUCAUUUCUUUUUUCUCUUGGAUGGAGAUCGAACCCAAGAGCUCACACAUCCUUGGCAGAUAAGUGCUCUACCACUGGGCUGCACCCCUAGCCUCUGGGGACAAGUUUUUAGCAUAAUUAGUAAGAAGAAAGUACUCUAAUAACCUUUGAUUGAUGGCAUUGCGUGUCCAGCUCACGUUUCUAGGGAGACAGAAUGACAGCUGUACAUGAACACAGGCUCAGAGUCUGCCAGGGUCUGCAAGCCUGGCUGUGUCCGGCUGGCCCUGGGCAAGUACCACAAAGCCGCUGCCUCAUUUCUUUAUCUCUAAGAUGGGGAUCAUCAUAGUACCUGCCUCAUACAUUUGUACUAGGUCAAUCGUGUGCCACCUGUGUUCAGUCACUGACAGACAGAGCAGAUCAAGUUGUGUUUUCAGCAGCACCUGGCCUGUGCCAAGGAUUUGAUGAGUGCAAUGUUGGCUCCUGAUUAAUGUGCAAAGCCCUGGAAUCUGGGAACAAAGCUCAGCGAUCCCCUGGACCUUUUGCCUCCCCUGUUUGUGCUGUCCAUCUUUGUGGCACACAUCAUGAGCCUGAGGACUGUCACCAAUGCAACAAGGAGCUUGGAAGUUUGCUUGUGUCCAACAAGGAGGGAUCAUCACUUGCUUUGUUUCUUGGUCCAGAUCAGAGAGAGGAGAAUGAGAGGAAAGAGAGAUCAUGCCUCAGGGUAACAACAGGGUAUUCAUCCACAUCCCCAGUGUUCAAUUCUACAGCAAGUUCCCGAGUCUGCUGCUUGAGUUGGAUUCUCUCAUUCUGCCAGCCUCUGGACAGAUGAAACAAUCACAUCACUGCUAAAGACAGCCAUAGUGAGACCGGAGAUUAGGACAUGGCACAGUGGCUGGACAGUUGAGUGUGACCUGUCAGUCACAGAGACCUGUCUGUCACAUCCAGCUGCCCUGUGUGGGACUGCCCAGAUGUGACAUCAGAAGAGGUAUAAAAGAUGGCAGCCAUUAGCCACAUGGCUGUCAUGAGCCCAACCCUGUACUCUGUGGGCAGACUUCUUUUCCUACUUUAACUGGCCCAUACUUGCUCUACAAAUAUACUUCUUUUUCCUUGUUUUCCUACCUCUGA